rnacentral:ncRNA from 2 species
UGAAUAGUCUGCAACCAAGGUGCCCUGCCGCCCGGAUGCGAGGGCAUAAUGGGGAAGUCCGGUGAAAGUCCGGCGCUGUCCCGCAACUGUAACCCUAAUUUAGGGAAGUCAGAAUACCUGCCCUGGUUGUAGCUCUAAG